rnacentral:rRNA from 1 species
GGCUCAGAUUGAACGCUGGCGGCAAGGCCUAACACAUGCAAGUCGAGCGGUAGAGAGGUGCUUGCAUCUCUUGAGAGCGGCGGACGGGUGAGUAAUGCCUAGGAAUCUGCCUGGUGGUGGGGGAUAACGUUCGGAAACGGACGCUAAUACCGCAUACGUCCUACGGGGAGAAAGCGGGGGAUCUUCGGACCUCGCGCCAUUAGAUGAGCCUAGGUCGGAUUAGCUAGUUGGUGAGGUAAUGGCUCACCAAGGCGACGAUCCGUAACUGGUCUGAGAGGAUGAUCAGUCACACUGGAACUGAGACACGGUCCAGACUCCUACGGGAGGCAGCAGUGGGGAAUAUUGGACAAUGGGCGAAAGCCUGAUCCAGCCAUGCCGCGUGUGUGAAGAAGGUCUUCGGAUUGUAAAGCACUUUAAGUUGGGAGGAAGGGUAGUAACCUAAUACGUUGCUACUUUGACGUUACCGACAGAAUAAGCACCGGCUAACUACGUG